UGUUAUCCACACUAAACGCAAAAUAAAGAGAUUACGCAAAAGACAAGGCCACUCUGAGCAGAUUUCCCAACUACGAGCAGCGUUGAAAAUCCAAAUCUCCAAGUCCAAAAAAAAAAGAAAAAAAAAAAAAACAUGU